GAGNCNUGUGGUUUAAUUCGAUGAUACGCGAGGAACCUUACCAGGGCUUAAAUGUAGAUUGACAGAUUUGGAAACAGAUUUUUCUUCGGACAAUUUACAAGGUGCUGCAUGGUUGUCGUCAGCUCGUGCCGUGAGGUGUCAGGUUAAGUCCUAUAACGAGCGCAACCCCUAUUGUUAGUUACCAGCGCGUUAAGGCGGGGACUCUAGCAAGACUGCCGGUGCAAACCGCGAGGAAGGUGGGGAUGACGUCAAAUCAUCACGGCCCUUACGUCCUGGGCUACACACGUGCUACAAUGGCAAGUACAGAAAGCAGCUACCUGGCAACAGGAUGCGAAUCUCAAAAGCUUGUCUCAGUUCGGAUCGGAGUCUGCAACUCGA
rnacentral:rRNA from 1 species